rnacentral:rRNA from 1 species
UGGGGAAUAUUGCACAAUGGGGGAAACCCUGAUGCAGCAACGCCGCGUGCGGGAUGACGGCCUUCGGGUUGUAAACCGCUUUCAGCCAUGACGAAGCUUUUGUGACGGUAGUGGCAGAAGAAGCACCGGCUAACUACGUGCCAGCAGCCGCGGUGAUACGUAGGGUGCGAGCGUUGUCCGGAAUUAUUGGGCGUAAAGAGCUUGUAGGCGGUUUGUUGCGUCGAAAGUGUAAACUCAGUGCUUAACGCUGAGCCUGCUUUCGAUACGGGCUGACUAGAGGAAGGUAGGGGAGAAUGGAAUUCCCGGUGGAGCGGUGGAAUGCGCAGAUAUCGGGAGGAACACCAGUGGCGAAGGCGGUUCUCUGGACCUUUCCUGACGCUGAGAAGCGAAAGCGUGGGUAGCAAACAGG